rnacentral:hammerhead_ribozyme from 1 species
AUUCAGCCGACGAGUUCCAAAUAGGACGAAACACGCGUCCUGGAU